rnacentral:rRNA from 1 species
AGAGUUUGAUCAUGGCUCAGAUUGAACGCUGGCGGCAGGCCUAACACAUGCAAGUCGAACGGUAGCACAGAGAGCUUGCUCUCGGGUGACGAGUGGCGGACGGGUGAGUAAUGUCUGGGAAACUGCCUGAUGGAGGGGGAUAACUACUGGAAACGGUAGCUAAUACCGCAUAAUGUCGCAAGACCAAAGAGGGGGACCUUCGGGCCUCUUGCCAUCAGAUGUGCCCAGAUGGGAUUAGCUAGUAGGUGGGGUAACGGCUCACCUAGGCGACGAUCCCUAGCUGGUCUGAGAGGAUGACCAGCCACACUGGAACUGAGACACGGUCCAGACUCCUACGGGAGGCAGCAGUGGGGAAUAUUGCACAAUGGGCGCAAGCCUGAUGCAGCCAUGCCGCGUGUAUGAAGAAGGCCUUCGGGUUGUAAAGUACUUUCAGCGGGGAGGAAGGCGAUAAGGUUAAUAACCUUGUCGAUUGACGUUACCCGCAGAAGAAGCACCGGCUAACUCCGUGCCAGCAGCCGCGGUAAUACGGAGGGUGCAAGCGUUAAUCGGAAUUACUGGGCGUAAAGCGCACGCAGGCGGUCUGUCAAGUCGGAUGUGAAAUCCCCGGGCUCAACCUGGGAACUGCAUUCGAAACUGGCAGGCUAGAGUCUUGUAGAGGGGGGUAGAAUUCCAGGUGUAGCGGUGAAAUGCGUAGAGAUCUGGAGGAAUACCGGUGGCGAAGGCGGCCCCCUGGACAAAGACUGACGCUCAGGUGCGAAAGCGUGGGGAGCAAACAGGAUUAGAUACCCUGGUAGUCCACGCCGUAAACGAUGUCGACUUGGAGGUUGUGCCCUUGAGGCGUGGCUUCCGGAGCUAACGCGUUAAGUCGACCGCCUGGGGAGUACGGCCGCAAGGUUAAAACUCAAAUGAAUUGACGGGGGCCCGCACAAGCGGUGGAGCAUGUGGUUUAAUUCGAUGCAACGCGAAGAACCUUACCUACUCUUGACAUCCAGAGAACUUUCCAGAGAUGGAUUGGUGCCUUCGGGAACUCUGAGACAGGUGCUGCAUGGCUGUCGUCAGCUCGUGUUGUGAAAUGUUGGGUUAAGUCCCGCAACGAGCGCAACCCUUAUCCUUUGUUGCCAGCGGUCCGGCCGGGAACUCAAAGGAGACUGCCAGUGAUAAACUGGAGGAAGGUGGGGAUGACGUCAAGUCAUCAUGGCCCUUACGAGUAGGGCUACACACGUGCUACAAUGGCGCAUACAAAGAGAAGCGACCUCGCGAGAGCAAGCGGACCUCAUAAAGUGCGUCGUAGUCCGGAUUGGAGUCUGCAACUCGACUCCAUGAAGUCGGAAUCGCUAGUAAUCGUGGAUCAGAAUGCCACGGUGAAUACGUUCCCGGGCCUUGUACACACCGCCCGUCACACCAUGGGAGUGGGUUGCAAAAGAAGUAGGUAGCUUAACCUUCGGGAGGGCGCUUACCACUUUGUGAUUCAUGACUGGGGUGAAGUCGUAACAAGGUAACCGUAGGGGAACCUGCGGUUG